GAUCUCUACGGGAGCAGCAGUGGGGAAUCUUGGACAAUGGGGGCAACCCUGAUCCAGCCAUGCCGCGUGAGUAUGAAGGCCCUAGGUCGUAAAGCUCUUUCGCCUGUGAAGAUAAUGACUGUAGCAGGUAAAGAAACCCCGGCUAACUCCGUGCCAGCAGCCGCGGUAAUACGGAGGGUGCAAGCGUUAAUCGGAAUUACUGGGCGUAAAGCGCGCGUAGGCCGACCUGAAAGUUGGGGGUGAAAUUCCGGGGCUCAACCCCGGAACUGCCUCCAAAACUAUCAGUCUAGAGUUCGAGAGAGGUGAGUGGAAUUCCGAGUGUAGAGGUGAAAUUCGUAGAUAUUCGGAGGAACACCAGUGGCGAAGGCGGCA
rnacentral:rRNA from 1 species